rnacentral:rRNA from 1 species
AGCGAACGCUGGCGGCAGGCCUAACACAUGCAAGUCGAGCGGACACCGCAAGGUGUCAGCGGCAGACGGGAGAGUAACACGUGGGAACGUGCCCUUCGGUUCGGAAUAACUCGGGGAAACUCGAGCUAAUACCGAAUACGCCUUACGGGGAAGAUUUAUCGCCGAUGGAGCGGCCCGCGUCUGAUUAGCUAGUUGGUGAGGUAACGGCUCACCAAGGCUACGAUCAGUAGCUGGUCNGAGAGGAUGAUCAGCCUCACUGGGACUGAGACACGGCCCAGACUCCUAC